UGAGUAACCCCAGAGUGCAGUCUGGACGAUGGGGCGGGGCGACACUUCGAGGCGGAGCGACACGUGUCGCCCCGCCCAUAUUUGUUUUCCCCGCCUUUGACAUUUUCCUCCGAGCCAGCAGGGGGCAGUUUGCGUUGAAACAAACAGAACGGUGGCAACUACAGCAGCAGAGUAAUAACGCUAUUCCGUUGAUUGCUUGAGGUGAGUAAAAGUGGUUGUGUAAAUAUCUUAUAAUAUGAAAUGCGAUGUUCGAUCAUUUAUUUAUCCAUGGUACGUUCAAUUUGAAUAAUUAUUGUUAAUAAUUGUUAUAAAUUGCUCAUUUUAUUGUUCUUUGUGGAUUGUAACAGUACACUCUGUACAUGGCUUUAGUUCAUAUGUUCGAUUUUACAGAGGUAUGGCAUCACAUUUGUCAAGUUAUUUGAACAGACAUGCAUGAUUUUUGUGUGUAUAUUAUUAUUAUUAUUAUUUUUCAGGAUGACAUGAUCAGGAGGUGGUGGUGUUCUGUUCUCCUGGACAGCUUUACUCCGCAAAUAGCUCAUCCACUGAGGGGAGGAACUUCACCAUUCACCAUGUCUUCAGGCAGAGUCCAGCAAAGCAGCUUCCACUGGAAAUCCUCAGGGAAGUUAUUUUGUCGGCGGGUGACUCUGCAUAUUUGACACUUUCUCUGGUUUGCAGAUGGUUUAGGGUUGUGCUCCGAAGUUUUUCGGAAAGCGGCACAGUUCGCCUGGCUAGAGAUUGUGGCCAACUGGAAGAACUGUCCUCCUGUCUCCUGACCGGAACGAGUUCAGACGGAUGUACUGCAUCAGGGAAUGCUUGCAGUGCAGAGCCCUUUUCAAGUUUAACCCACCAGGGUACAGGGAAGAGACCGGCGUGGUGAUCUUCUGGGCUUUUGUUUACACAGGAUUUUGUUCCAAGGACUGUUUUUUUUUUUUUUUUUUUUUUUUUUGCGGCAUGAAACACAUUUGUGUGUUAAGUUCAUUGAAGGGAAAUAACUGGUUUUGAUUAUUAAUUGAUGUAAUUUAAAGUUAAACUUUGCACUGUAUAAUGUUUUAAUAAAAAAGCUAUGGAAAACAC